GACGAACGCUGGCGGCGUGCCUAAUACAUGCAAGUUGAGCGCUGAAGGUUGGUACUUGUACCAACUGGAUGAGCAGCGAACGGGUGAGUAACGCGUGGGGAAUCUGCCUUUGAGCGGGGGACAACAUUUGGAAACUAAUGCUAAUACCGCAUAAAAACUUUAAACACAAGUUUUAAGUUUGAAAGAUGCAAUUGCAUCACUCAAAGAUGAUCCCGCGUUGUAUUAGCUAGUUGGUGAGGUAAAGGCUCACCAAGGCGAUGAUACAUAGCCGACCUGAGAGGGUGAUCGGCCACAUUGGGACUGAGACACGGCCCAAACUCCUACGGGAGGCAGCAGUAGGGAAUCUUCGGCAAUGGACGAAAGUCUGACCGAGCAACGCCGCGUGAGUGAAGAAGGUUUUCGGAUCGUAAAACUCUGUUGGUAGAGAAGAACGUUGGUGAGAGUGGAAAGCUCAUCAAGUGACGGUAACUACCCAGAAAGGGACGGCUAACUACGUG
rnacentral:rRNA from 1 species